GUGAAUCAUCGAAUUUUUGAACGCAAAUUGCGACUUUUUCUGAAGGCAUGUCUGUUUGAGGUCGCCAUUUAACAAAUAAUGUGCAGCGUUUUUUGUUGCACACGUUGAUGAUCUUUCCAAGAGUUUUAACUUUUUGGUGGCGCAUAAUGAACAGCGGGAAAUGUUUGUUCAGUUCGAGUGUAUUAAGUCUUUGCUUGGGUUGUGAAAAAACAUAAUCGCGCUAUGUGUGUGGCAAUUUCU
rnacentral:misc_RNA from 1 species